rnacentral:rRNA from 1 species
GGCUCAGUAGGUUGGUCGUGCCACCGGUACGUACUGGUCUCACUGAUUCCUCCUUCCUGAAGAACCGUAAUGCCAUUAAUUUGGUGUUGCGGGGAAUCAGGACUGUUACUUUGAAAAAAUUAGCGUGUGUAAAGCAAGCUAACGCUUGAAUACAUUAGCAUGGAAUAAUGAAAUAGGACGAUCGAUCCUAUUUUGUUGGUUUCUAGGAUUGACGUA